GAUAGCGUGGCCGAGUGGUCUAAGGCGCUGGUUUUAGGCACCAGUCAUUUCGAUGACGUGGGGUCGAAUCCCACCGCUGCCA
rnacentral:tRNA from 1 species